rnacentral:rRNA from 1 species
UUAAUUUGAGAGUUUGAUCCUGGCUCAGGACGAACGCUGGCGGCGUGCCUAAUACAUGCAAGUCGAACGAACUCUGGUAUUGAUUGGUGCUUGCAUCAUGAUUUACAUUUGAGUGAGUGGCGAACUGGUGAGUAACACGUGGGAAACCUGCCCAGAAGCGGGGGAUAACACCUGGAAACAGAUGCUAAUACCGCAUAACAACUUGGACCGCAUGGUCCGAGCUUGAAAGAUGGCUUCGGCUAUCACUUUUGGAUGGUCCCGCGGCGUAUUAGCUAGAUGGUGGGGUAACGGCUCACCAUGGCAAUGAUACGUAGCCGACCUGAGAGGGUAAUCGGCCACAUUGGGACUGAGACACGGCCCAAAC